CCUGACCUUGAACACUUUCUGAACAGCUAUCUAGAAGUCACUGGCAUGUCAGUUAAGACCUUCCACCUCUGAGCAAGCGGCUGGGAUUGGCGUCCCAACUGUUGCUGCAACCAGACAGAAAGAGAUGCUUCUACGCUUUCAUCCUGCAAGCACAGAACAUCGCAAGGUAGCAUCACUCCGCUUCAGGAAGAGAAAGAGGGACACAGAUGGGAUUGAGCCAACCUGUGCUGGACGAUGCAUAAAACUAGCAUGUGGAUGCUGUGACAGCAAUGACAAAAAAUAAUAACGUUCUGGUACAAUGAACACAUAAAAUCAAGAUAUUGUUGUCACAUCACUAAACCCAGUAGUGACGAGUAACUAAUCUCAACA